CAUUAUUCUGUCAUCACCAGAUACACCGAGAAAUGAGUAAAUCAAGAUAACUGACACAUUUCUCAUCUCACAAAUUAUCUUCGUGGGCUAAGAACAUUUUAGAUCUCGACGGCCCCUGUAGUUUCAAGGUUCCAGAGUCAUCUCACUGGCCAGCUGUACUUCAGUGACCCACAGCUUGGAGAGAGACUUAGAAAGGCAUUCUUUCUACACACUUUGAUCAUGACCCUCUAACAACUAAGCAGGAGAAGAGGAGAGUAUAUACUUGAAGAUGCGGAACCAGCAGAGAGCAAAGGGAGGACCACUUAUCUGGGAUGGCUUUCCUAGUCAUAGAGGAUGAAGGAUGUGAACUGGAUCUAGAAGCAAGCCUCAGGAAAGAACAACCAACACAGAUUGUCCGAACAGAGACCAUCAAUCAUAUAAGAACCACCAAAGCUGGGUCUUAGGGUAUAUGGACAUGUGGGUGAAAGCAUUAGAUGACCAGUUGGAACCUGCAUUUUGGCAUAUGGGGGCCAAAUGACCAACUUAUUUGUUAGACUGCCAUGGUAAACACAUGACUGGAGAGCAUAAGUACCAUUUAUUUUGUUGCAGUUCUGAAGUCUGGAAGUUCAAGGAUGCAGAGCAAGCUUCUCCCGAGAUUGCUUGCCCUUUCUUGCACAUGGCUUUUUCUAGUUGUAUCUUCAUGCAGUCUUCCCUCUGUGCAUCCCUUACGUUUCUCUGUGUGUUCACAUCUCAAAAGGACAUCAGUCAGAUUAGAUUAAGGGCCACCUUAUCCAACCCACCAUAGCUUAAGUAUCACUAUGCAGGCCUCGUCUCAAACCUGGUCAGGAACUGAUUGCUACUGUGGGCUAGAUCUUCAGCAUGGCAAUUUGAAGGUCAGGUAAAGCAGAGACAAAAAUCAGCCUGUACAGGGAGACCUUUUAAAUUCCAGGCUAGGGGGUUUGUUUCCAUCUGUAUGCAACUAGUAGACGUGGUGGUUUCUGAAGACAACCUUAGCAGGUGUCUUUGUGUCCACUGUCCUUGUGUGGAGGUGGCUCUUGAUGACUCUUAUUUGUGUGGGGGAUAAGGGAGAUGAUGCUGGAAUUGGAACAAUAGUAGCAUACAAACUACACAUGAAGUAAGCAGUACAUCCAAGAGAUACUGUAGGGUACAAUAACCCCAGGGUUUGGUAAUGAAUUUGAUGUCAAAGUGAGGAUGAGGAGUCCCACCUUUUAAUUUCUGGCAUGGGUGAAUGUCUGUGUACCUUAGAAUCACUGAUUUCUUUCCUUCUGUUCAAGCUUAAGUGGGAUGCAUGUAAUGAGCAUGCAUUAGAAAAAUUCUAGGAUAGACAACCUUAGAUUUGGUGCAAAAUUAAUUUGCCUAGGAAAAGAUCAUUGUAUUCCCAAUCUUUACACUGCCUAUAUAGCAGCAAGGAAGCCUAGCCUAAUGAAGUAUGUUUACAUAGAGAAGGCUGUGUAUUAGGGUUGCCUUCAUUCUUCUGACUGUUCCCUGCUUUUCCUCCUCUGACCUGGCUUCUGCUCCUUCAUUGUGAUGAAAUGGCUCCUUAGACAUGCUAGAAACCUCAAGUCUUGACCUCCACUUUCUUUUGGCAUUGCCAAUCACCUCAUGCUUACUUGAAACUUCUCCUGGUAGUCACAGGAGAAGCAGAGGAGGAGGAAAAAGGGGGAAAGAAGGGAGAGGAGAAAUUUUAACUGAAGUGAGUCAAGUAGGAGAAGGAAGAGGAGGAAGAAGAAGAAGAAGAAGAAGAAGAAUAGGAAGGACUGAUUAUGAAACAAUGCAAAUCCUAAUAUAUGUGUGUAUUUCUUUGGAGUUUACAAGGCAGAGAUGGCUAUGUUCAAAUACCAACACACAGUUGAUCAUGAGCUGUAGAGCUAUGGCCAGACAACUUACCUAGGGAUCAUAUCUAGUUACAUGCCAAACUGUACAAUAAGAAAGUAUUGAAGAUGUUUUAAAUCAUUUGAUUAUAAACUUUUGAAUAGGCUUGUGGAAAGUGAACUCUUCCCAUCACUGGGUGUUGCUGUGUUGGCAGGUGUCUGUGGCUCCUGUCCUCUUAGGUUGCCAAAGAGGCAUAAAUAAUGCAAUGUGGAUGGACCUACAUGAGCUGUCUUGGCUGUGUUUCUGAAGUCAAGCACCCAGCCUGAAGCAGCAAAGUGUUAAUGUCCCUCCAGGGAGGCAGAUGCUCUGAACGAAGAGAAACAAUCGCCAUGAGAAGAAAGAAGAUCUCAGUUGGCCAGCUAACCAAGCAGUUAGUGGUUGGACCACCAGGGUCAAACAGAGACAGUGUCUGACCUGAAAGACUGGAACACUUGAACCACCAAUCACUUGGGUUACUCUCAAAUGUCUCUCCCCGGUUCCAGAGAACCAGUCUGAUGAGAACCAGUUAUCAGAGUAAGAUGAGAUCUAUUGGGGAGGUAUCCAGUGAGUUAUGAGAUUCUUCAGACAUAUUGAAGGUCUGAACGUCAUGGAAGCAGAAAUAGACUGGGGAAGAAAUAAAGAGGAGGGACCUUGGACCAUAUUCUGGUUCUAAGGAAGGUUUGGCCAGGGUGCAUCAUUUGGUCAUCCAUAGUAGUGUCUUGUGUCUUCCAAAUGGACCUGAAUUGAGGCCAUUGCCAUACCUGUCUGACUGAGAACAGGUCUCAGAAACCGUGGUCUUAAAUGAGCUUGACAGUGGACCCCUUUUACUAUUACACUGUAUCUGAGUGUCAUAUGCUAACAACUACCAUGUUAGAUACUGUUAUCCAUAUGUAGCUGCUGUCUUCCAUGUUCUCCUUUCAUGGAGAAUAACCACUCUGGGGAGGGUUAUUCUGUUUGUUGGCGUUGUCUUAGAUUUAAAAGCAUCCAAACUGUCAGGACACUAUCAACAGGGUCAGGAAACUAGAAAACCUUGAGCUGGAAGUUCAGGGCCCAAGAGCAAGC
rnacentral:lncRNA from 1 species